GUUUAUUCCUUUCAUCAUCAACAAUAAAUCCUGUGAAUUUGGUAACAUUUGCUCUUUAUUUGACAAAGUUAUGAAGGGGGAACCAUUCUGGGAAUCAACAAUCAUCACCUCCACUGGACUUUAGUGGUAAUAAAUGUUUUUAAACUCUAAAAACAAUCUAUAUCAUACUUAUCUCAUAGACAAAAACCACAUGAAAACUGUCGAAUGCACACUUUCUAGGUGAUCUACCCACAAGAGAAAAAGUCUUUGUUCUUGAAUCCACUGGGGGAAUCAAAACAAGACAUCCAGAAAUGUUUGCAAAUCACAAGGGCAUUUAUGAGGAAGAAGGGGUGCAAUGUCUCACGUUGGACAUGUGACACAGUCAAGCAUCCAAAACAACAAGAUAGCUCAUCAUGUGGUGUAUUUUCACUGAAGGUUUCAGACAUAUUGUCACACAGUUUUGCAGAAAAAAUCCUAUCAAAAGAGGUUGUGGAUUUUUCUGUUUCCAGAGAGGCGGCCGACAGCAUGAGACUUAUCCUUAACAUUAAUAUUCUUAUUUUCAGUGUUUAUGACAAUUGUUAUCAUGAUUACUAUUAUUUGUAUGUUUGGCUAAAACAUCUGUACUUAGCCAACCUCCGUGUCACUUUCCAUCUCUCCACAGAAGUGACACAAGUCUUUUAGGUCCUCUGUUAAUAACAAAAGUAUAAAAACACACACACACGAUUAUACAUGUACAAUCAUGACCGUAUAUAUGGGUGUGUAUGAAACUGUUACACAGGAUGUGCUAAGCACCAACACAGUCAUUUAUGAAAGAAAAUAUAGAAAAUAAAAUGAUUGUACUUAUUAAUUUGCAAACAUUGCAAAGAUUGUUUUUAGAGUUUAAAAACAUUUAUUACCACUAAAGUCCAGUGGAGGUGAUGAUUGUUGAUUCCCAGAAUGGUUCCCCCUUCAUAACUUUGUUAAAUAAAGAGCAAAUGUUACCAAAUUCACAGGAUUUAUUGUUGAUGAUGAAAGGAAUAAACAGAGUUAAAGACUUGUUGGUAAAUUAAUU